CCGAAACCCGGUGAUCUAGCCAUGGGCAGGUUGAAGGUUGGGUAACACUAACUGGAGGACCGAACCGACUAAUGUUGAAAAAUUAGCGGAUGACUUGUGGCUGGGGGUGAAAGGCCAAUCAAACCGGGAGAUAGCUGGUUCUCCCCGAAAGCUAUUUAGGUAGCGCCUCGUGAAUUCAUCUCCGGGGGUAGAGCACUGUUUCGGCAAGGGGGUCAUCCCGACUUACCAACCCGAUGCAAACUGCGAAUACCGGAGAAUGUUAUCACGGGAGACACACGGCGGGUGCUAACGUCCGUCGUGAAGAGGGAAACAACCCAGACCGCCAGCUAAGGUCCCAAAGUCAUGGUUAAGUGGGAAACGAUGUGGGAAGGCCCAGACAGCCAGGAUGUUGGCUUAGAAGCAGCCAUCAUUUAAAGAAAGCGUAAUAGCUCACUGGUCGAGUCGGCCUGCGCGGAAGAUGUAACGGGGCUAAACCAUGCACCGAAGCUGCGGCAGCGACACUAUGUGUUGUUGGGUAGGGGAGCG
rnacentral:rRNA from 1 species